GAUGAACGCUGGCGGCGUGCCUAACACAUGCAAGUCGAACGGAAAGGCGCUGCUCUUGCGGGGCUCUCGAGUGGCGAACGGGUGAGUAACACGCGAGUAACACGCACUUGACUUUGGGAUAACUUCAGGAAACUGGGGCUAAUACCGGAUAGGAGCUCCUGAUGCAUGGUGGGGGUUGGAAAGUUUCGGCGGUUGUGGAUGGAUUCGCGGCUUAUCAGCUUGUUGGUCGAGUAGUGGCAUACCAAGCCUUCGACGGAUAGCCGGCCUUAGAGGGUGAACAGCGACAAGAGGCCUGCGGGAGGGAGCAGAAGGCUACGGGAGGCAACAGUCGGAAGCAUUGCGCAGUGGGGGCAAGCCUGAGACGGCGGCCCUCGGAGCGUGAAACUCUGCUACGAGUUAAGAACCGCUUUGUCAUUAAACAUGGACGGAUUGACGGUAACGAGUAAGAAAGCCCCGGCUAACUACGUG
rnacentral:rRNA from 1 species